UACGUAGGGUGCAAGCGUUAAUCGGAAUUACUGGGCGUAAAGCGUGCGCAGGCGGUUUUGUAAGUCUGUCGUGAAAUCCCCGGGCUCAACCUGGGAAUUGCGAUGGAGACUGCAAGGCUAGAAUCUGGCAGAGGGGGGUGGAAUUCCACGUGUAGCAGUGAAAUGCGUAGAGAUGUGGAGGAAUACCGAUGGCGAAGGCAGCCCCCUGGGCCAAUACUGACGCUCAUGCACGAAAGCGUGGGGAGCAAACAGG
rnacentral:rRNA from 1 species